rnacentral:lncRNA from 1 species
CCAUCUUCAACCUUUAGAAAAGGUUUCAGAGAUUUGAAUCAAGGAUCUAGAUCAGUCAAGAAGAAGGUCUUCAUCCGAGCUAGCACUCCCGAGAAGACUGAUUAGAUCGGGGCUUCAAGUGGAUUUUCUAUAGAGACCGAAUACAUGCGCGGUUGUGAGCAACCAGCAAGGAUUUUCUCCAUCAUGUCUCUCAGUAGUGAAGAUCGUUGACCCA